GACGGAGGGUGCUAGCGUUGUUCGGAAUUACUGGGCGUAAAGGGCGCGUAGGCGGCCUGGUCAGUCGGAUGUGAAAGCCCGGGGCUCAACCCCGGAACGGCAUCCGAGACGGCCAGGCUGGAGACCGGGAGAGGAGAGUGGAAUAGCCAGUGUAGAGGUGAAAUUCGUAGAUAUUCGGAAGAACACCAGUGGCGAAGGCGACUUACUGGACACAUAUUGACGCUGAGGUGCGAAAGCGUGGGGAGCAAACAGG
rnacentral:rRNA from 1 species